AUUGAACGCUGGCGGCAGGCCUAACACAUGCAAGUCGAAUGGUAACAGGAAACAGCUUGCUGUUUCGCUGACGAGUGGCGGACGGGUGAGUAAUGUCUGGGAAACUGCCUGAUGGAGGGGGAUAACUACUGGAAACGGUAGCUAAUACCGCAUAACGUCGCAAGACCAAAGAGGGGGACCUUCGGGCCUCUUGCCAUCAGAUGUGCCCAGAUGGGAUUAGCUAGUAGGUGGGGUAACGGCUCACCUAGGCAACGAUCCCUAGCUGGUCUGAGAGGAUGACCGGCCACACUGGAACUGAGACACGGUCCAGACUCCUACGGGAGGCAGCAGUGGGGAAUAUUGCACAAUGGGCGCAAGCCUGAUGCAGCCAUGCCGCGUGUAUGAAGAAGGCCUUCGGGUUGUAAAGUACUUUCAGCGGGGAGGAGGGGAGUAAAGUUAAUACCUUUGCUCAUUGACGUUACCCGCAGAAGAAGCACCGGCUAACUACGUG
rnacentral:rRNA from 1 species